GGUCUGUUAGCUCAGAUGGUUAGAGCGUUGUGCUAAUAAUACAAAGGCCGCAGGUUCAAUCCCUGUACUGACCA